rnacentral:rRNA from 1 species
CAGUAGCCACGGUAAUACGAAGGGUGCAAGCGUUAAUCGGAAUUACUGGGCGUAAAGCGUGCGCAGGCGGUUAUAUAAGACAGAUGUGAAAUCCCCGGGCUCAACCUGGGAACUGCAUUUGUGACUGUAUAGCUAGAGUACGGCAGAGGGGGAUGGAAUUCCGCGUGUAGCAGUGAAAUGCGUAGAUAUGCGGAGGAACACCGAUGGCGAAGGCAAUCCCCUGGGCCUGUACUGACGCUCAUGCACGAAAGCGUGGGGAGCAAACAGGAUUAGAUACCCCCGUAGUCCCUGUCUCUUAUAC